rnacentral:rRNA from 1 species
UAGGGAAUCUUCGGCAAUGGACGAAAGUCUGACCGAGCAACGCCGCGUGAGUGAAGAAGGAUUUCGGAUCGUAAAACUCUGUUGUUAGAGAAGAACAAGGACGUUAGUAACUGAACGUCCCCUGACGGUAUAUAACCAGAAAGCCACGGCUAACUACGUGCCAGCAGCCGCGGUAAUACGUAGGUGGCAAGCGUUGUCCGGAUUUAUUGGGCGUAAAGCGAGCGCAGGCGGUUUCUUAAGUCUGAUGUGAAAGCCCCCGGCUCAACCGGGGAGGGUCAUUGGAAACUGGGGGACUUGAGUGCAGAAGAGGGGAGUGGAAUUCCAUGUGUAGCGGUGAAAUGCGUAGAUAUAUGGUGGAACACCAGUGGCGAAGGCGGCUCACUGGUCUGUAACUGACGCUGAGGCUCGAAAGCGUGGGGAGCAAACAGG